rnacentral:rRNA from 1 species
GAUGAACGUUGGCGGCGUGCCUAACACAUGCAAGUCGAACGAUAGUAGCAAUACUAUAGUGGCGCACGGGUGAGUAACACGUAGCUUACCUCCCUCUCAGCGCGGGAUAACGGCUCGAAAGAGCUGCUAAUACCGCAUAAGCUCACGGGUUCUAGAGACUUGUGAGAAAAGGCUUCGGUCACUGAGAGACGGGGCUGCGG